AACGAACGCUGGCGGCAUGCCUAACACAUGCAAGUCGAACGAGACCUUCGGGUCUAGUGGCGCACGGGUGCGUAACGCGUGGGAACCUGCCCUUAGGUUCGGAAUAACUCCCCGAAAGGGGUGCUAAUACCGGAUAAUGUCUUCGGACCAAAGAUUUAUCGCCUUUGGAUGGGCCCGCGUUGGAUUAGCUAGUUGGUAGGGUAAAAGCCUACCAAGGCGACGAUCCAUAGCUGGUCUGAGAGGAUGAUCAGCCACACUGGGACUGAGACACGGCCCAGAAUCCUACGGGAAGCAGCAGUGGGGAAUAUUGGACAAUGGGCGAAAGCCUGAUCCAGCAAUGCCGCGUGAGUGAUGAAGGCAUUAGGGUUGUAAAGCUCUUUUAACCGGGAUGAUAAUGACAGUACCGGGAGAAUAAGCUCCGGCUAACUCCGUG
rnacentral:rRNA from 1 species